rnacentral:rRNA from 1 species
UACAGAGGGGGCAAGCGUUAUUCGGAAUUAUUGGGCGUAAAGGGCGCGUAGGCGGCCUGGCAAGUGGAAGGUGAAAUCCCUCGGCUUAACCGAGGAACUGCCCUCCAAACUGCUUGGCUUGAGUCCGGGAGAGGUGAGUGGAAUUCCCAGUGUAGCGGUGAAAUGCGUAGAUAUUGGGAGGAACACCAGUGGCGAAGGCGGGUCUCUGGGCCGAAAUUGACGCUGAGGAGCGAAAGCGUGGGG